rnacentral:rRNA from 1 species
CGGCUCGUAAAACUCUGUUGUUGRAGAAGAACGUGCGUGAGAGUAACUGUUSACGCAGUGACGGUAUYCAACCAGAAAGUCACGGCUAACUACGUGCCAGCAGCCGCGGUAAUACGUAGGUGGCAAGCGUUAUCCGGAUUUAUUGGGCGUAAAGCGAGCGCAGGCGGUUACUUAAGUCUGAUGUGAAAGCCUUCGGCUUAACCGAAGAAGUGCAUCGGAAACUGGGCGACUUGAGUGCAGAAGAGGACAGUGGAACUCCAU